rnacentral:rRNA from 1 species
AGCUCGUGUUGUGAAAUGUUGGGUUAAGUCCCGCAACGAGCGCAACCCUUAUCCUUUGUUGCCAGCGGUCCGGCCGGGAACUCAAAGGAGACUGCCAGUGAUAAACUGGAGGAAGGUGGGGAUGACGUCAAGUCAUCAUGGCCCUUACGGCCAGGGCUACACACGUGCUACAAUGGCGCAUACAAAGAGAAGCGACCUCGCGAGAGCAAGCGGACCUCAUAAAGUGCGUCGUAGUCCGGAUUGGAGUCUGCAACUCGACUCCAUGAAGUCGGAAUCGCUAGUAAUCGUGGAUCAGAAUGCCACGGUGAAUACGUUCCCGGGCCUUGUACACACCGCCCGUCACACCAUGGGAGUGGGUUGCAAAAGAAGUAGGUAGCUUAACCUUCGGGAGGGCGCUUACCACUUUGUGAUUCAUGACUGGGGUGAAGUCGUAACAAGGUAACCGUAGGGGAACCUGCGGUUGGAUCACCUC